AGAAUGAACGCUGGCGGCGUGCUUAACACAUGCAAGUCGAACGGAAUCCAAGGAGCUUGCUCUGGAAGAUUUAGUGGCGAACGGGUGAGUAUCACGUGAGCAACCUGCCCCGAAGACUGGGAUAACACCGGGAAACCGGUGCUAAUACCGGAUACCUUCCAAUGACCGCAUGGUCGAUGGAAGAAAUGUUUUUCGCUUCGGGAGGGGCUCGCGGUCCAUCAGCUUGUUGGCGGGGUAACGGCCCACCAAGGCUUCGACGGAUAGCUGGUCUGAGAGGACGAUCAGCCACACUGGAACUGAAACACGGUCCAGACUCCUACGGGAGGCAGCAGUGGGGAAUUUUGCGCAAUGGGGGAAACCCUGACGCAGCAACGCCGCGUGGAGGAUGAAGUCCCUUGGGACGUAAACUCCUUUCGAUCGGGACGAUAAUGACGGUACCGAGAGAAGAGCCCCGGCUAACUUCGUGCCAGCAGCCGC
rnacentral:rRNA from 1 species